rnacentral:rRNA from 1 species
UACGUAGGGGGCAAGCGUUGUCCGGAUUUAUUGGGCGUAAAGAGCGUGUAGGCGGCCUGACAGGUCUGCUGUGAAAACUCGAGGCUCAACCUCGAGAUGUCGGCGGAAGCCGUCUGGCUAGAGUCCGGAAGAGGAGAGUGGAAUUCCUGGUGUAGCGGUGAAAUGCGCAGAUAUCAGGAAGAACACCUAUGGCGAAGGCAGCUCUCUGGGACGGUACUGACGCUGAGGCGCGAAAGCGUGGGGAGCAAACAGG